AUAUGCGGAAGUGCGCCUAUACGUACAUGUCCGUGCUGUGACGUCACUCAUAGUGACACGUGACUUCAAAAAUUAUUCAAGGCAACGUCUGUUCUUUGUGUAAUCUUUUGCUUGAAUAG
rnacentral:lncRNA from 1 species